rnacentral:tRNA from 1 species
GCGUCCGUAGUUCAAUUGGAUAGAGCAAUAGACUUCGGAUCUAUAAGUUGGGGGUUCGAGUCCCUCCGGGCGCG